rnacentral:rRNA from 1 species
CCAAGGAGUCUAACAUGUGCGCGAGUCAUUGGGACGAGCAAACCUAAAGGCGAAAUGAAAGUAAAGGUCAGCCCAGCGCUGACCGAGGGAGGAUGGGCCGCGUCACGAUGCGGCCCCGCACUCCCGGGGCGUCUCGUUCUCAUCGCGAGAAGAGGCGCACCCAGAGCGUACACGUUGGGACCCGAAAGAUGGUGAACUAUGCCUGGUCAGGACGAAGUCAGGGGAAACCCUGAUGGAGGUCCGUAGCGAUUCUGACGUGCAAAUCGAUCGUCGGAACUGGGUAUAGGGGCGAAAGACUAAUCGAACCAUCUAGUAGCUGGUUCCCUCCGAAGUUUCCCUCAGGAUAGCUGGCACUCGCGUACAAAACGUACACGAGUCUCAUCCGGUAAAGCGAAUGAUUAGAGGCCUUGGGGCCGAAACGACCUCAACCUAUUCUCAAACUUUAAAUGGGUGAGAUCUCUGGCUUGCUUGAACUAUGAAGCCACGAGAUCUCGGAUCAGAGUGCCAAGUGGGCCACUUUU